CAUCACUACGCUAGAUGCAUAUCAAUAAGCGGAGGAAAAGAAACUAACAAGGAUUCCCCUAGUAACGGCGAGUGAAGCGGGAAGAGCUCAAAUUUGAAAUCUUAAAGGGUUUCCCUUUACGAAUUGUAGUUUAAAGAAGUGUCUUCUGUUGAAGUUUUGGUAAAAGUUCUUUGGAAUAGGACAUCAUAGAGGGUGAGAAUCCCGUAUUUGACCGUUACUUUCCAGCUGUGUGAUACACUUUCAAAGAGUCGGAUUGUUUGGGAAUGCAGUCCAAGAUGGGUGGUAAAUUUCAUCUAAAGCUAAAUAUUGGCGAGAGACCGAUAGCGAACAAGUACCGUGAGGGAAAGAUGAAAAGAACUUUGAAAAGAGAGUUAAACAGUACGUGAAAUUGUCAAAAGGGAAGCGUUUGACACCAGUGUUGUUUUCUCGAAAAUCAAUUAAAAAUGAUGGGAUUUUGUGUUGUAUUGACUUUAUCAGCUUUCUGCACUUUUUUCUUGUCUUUUUUAAUGCACUUUUCGUUUAACAAGUCAACAUCAAUUUCUUUUGUUGUAAAAGAGUCAUUGGAAGGUGGCUUUCAUUUCGGUGAAAGUGUUUAUAGCCUUUGACUUCUGCAAUCGGAGAGAUUGAGGUCUGCAGCGUAGAUCCUUCGGGGUUAGAUACAUUUGUGCUAAGUUAUAGUUUUUCAUAGACAACAUGUUGACUAUGAUUAAUCAUGUAGCUUACUCGCUUAUGCUAUUUUACCUACGCUUAGGAUGUUGAAGAUAUGCGCGACACG
rnacentral:rRNA from 1 species